AACGAACGCUGGCGGCGUGCUUAACACAUGCAAGUCGAACGCGAACGUCUUCUUCGGAAGGCUAGUAGAGUGGCGCACGGGUGAGUAACGCGUAAGUAACCUACCCUCGCAUUCGGGAUAACCCACCGAAAGGUGUGCUAAUACCGGAUACGUCUGUAAUUAUACUUUUUUUAUAGAGAAAGGUGGCCUCUGAUUCAAGCUACUGUGCGGGGAGGGGCUUGCGUACCAUUAGCUAGUUGGUAGGGUAACGGCCUACCAAGGCGACGAUGGUUAGCGGGUCUGAGAGGAUGAUCCGCCACACUGGAACUGGAACACGGACCAGACUCCUACGGGAGGCAGCAGUGAGGAAUAUUGCGCAAUGGGGGCAACCCUGACGCAGCGACGCCGCGUGGAUGAUGAAGGCCUUCGGGUUGUAAAAUCCUGUCAGAUGGGAAGAAGUGCUCAAUACUUAAUAAGUGUUGUGUUUGACGGUACCAUCAAAGGAAGCACCGGCUAACUCCGUGCCAGCCGCCGCCGUAACAC
rnacentral:rRNA from 1 species